rnacentral:rRNA from 1 species
UACAGAGGGGGCAAGCGUUAUUCGGAAUUAUUGGGCGUAAAGGGCGCGUAGGCGGUCGGACAAGUGGAAGGUGAAAUCCCCGGGCUCAAACCUGGGAACUGCCCUCCAAACUGUUUGACUUGAGUCCGGGAGAGGUGAGUGGAAUUCCCAGUGAUAGGCGGUGAAAUGCGUAGAUAUUAGGGAGGAACACCAGUGGCGAAGGCGGCUCACUGGACCGGAACUGACGCUGAGG